rnacentral:rRNA from 1 species
CGAGUCUUAAUUGGGCGUUAAGUUGCAGGGUAUAGACCCGAAACCCGGUGAUCUAGCCAUGGGCAGGUUGAAGGUUGGGUAACACUAACUGGAGGACCGAACCGACUAAUGUUGAAAAAUUAGCGGAUGACCUGUGGCUGGGGGUGAAAGGCCAAUCAAACCGGGAGAUAGCUGGUUCUCCCCGAAAGCUAUUUAGGUAGCGCCUCGUGAAUUCAUCUCCGGGGGUAGAGCACUGUUUCGGCUAGGGGGCCAUCCCGGCUUACCAACCCGAUGCAAACUGCGAAUACCGGAGAAUGUUAUCACGGGAGACACACGGCGGGUGCUAACGUCCGUCGUGAAGAGGGAAACAACCCAGACCGCCAGCUAAGGUCCCAAAGUCAUGGUUAAGUGGGAAACGAUGUGGGAAGGCCCAGACAGCCAGGAUGUUGGCUUAGAAGCAGCCAUCAUUUAAAGAAAGCGUAAUAGCUCACUGGUCGAGUCGGCCUGCGCGGAAGAUGUAACGGGGCUAAACCAUGCACCGAAGCUGCGGCAGCGAACGUAUCACCCAAGACAACUUUACGGAGUUGACGAUUGACGGAGCGAAGCGACGUCAAAGCGUUCAUUAAAGUCGAGUUGGCUUAGGGAUACGUUCGUUGGGUAGGGGAGCGUUCUGUAAGCCUGUGAAGGUGUGUCGUGAGGCAUGCUGGAGGUAUCAGAAGUGCGAAUGCUGACAUAAGUAACGAUAAAGCGGGUGAAAAGCCCGCUCGCCGGAAGACCAAGGGUUCCUGUCCAACGUUAAUCGGGGCAGGGUGAGUCGACCCCUAAGGCGAGGCCGAAAGGCGUAGUCGAUGGGAAACGGGUUAAUAUUCCCGUACUUGGUGUUACUGCGAAGGGGGGACGGAGAAGGCUAUGUUGGCCGGGCGACGGUUGUCCCGGUUUAAGCGUGUAGGUGUGUGUUCCAGGUAAAUCCGGUUCACUUUAACACUGAGGCGUGACGACGAGGCACUACGGUGCUGAAGCAACAAAUGCCCUGCUUCCAGGAAAAGCCUCUAAGCAUCAGGUAACAUCAAAUCGUACCCCAAACCGACACAGGUGGUCAGGUAGAGAAUACCAAGGCGCUUGAGAGAACUCGGGUGAAGGAACUAGGCAAAAUGGUGCCGUAACUUCGGGAGAAGGCACGCUGACACGUAGGUGAAGUGAUUUACUCA